rnacentral:tRNA from 1 species
GGUCGGGUGGUUGAGUGGUUAGACAAGGGUUUGUAAAACCCUUUACAGUGGUUCAAAUCCACUCCCGGCCU